GUCUACGGCCACGCCACCCUAAAUGUGCCCGAUCUUGUCUGGUCUCGGAAGCUAAGCAGGGUCAGGCCUGGUUAGUACUUUGAUGGGAGACCACCUAGGAAUACCAGGUGCUGUAGGCA
rnacentral:rRNA from 1 species